rnacentral:rRNA from 1 species
GUCUAUGGCCACGCCAUCCUGAACAAGCCCGAUGUCUGAUCUUGGAAGCUAAGCAGGGUUGAGCCUGGUUAGAACUUGGAUAGGAGACCACCUAAGAAGACCAGGUGCUGUAGGCA